GUGCCCUCGAUAACACACGCCUUGGUGGGAAAGAAACGGGUGGCGUCGGGUCUUACGGUUGUCGAUAUGACGGGUCUGCCUCACCGCGCGCUAUCUUCUCCGGUGGAAUGUUCAGUCGAGCCGCCUGUGGGGGUACUUAAUGGCACAGCUGAUGCCCGGAGGGAUUAAAGGGAGGUAACCAAACUAGAUGAGCCAGAUAGUUAGCCUAUAAUGUCAACACAUGAUCUGAAGUUGCAGCAGUCAAGUUGUCAAAGCGGAGUGAAAGCCAGCGUGACUUGCUUUGUCCCAGAUCAGGAGAGAUUGUACACACAAACUGACAAAUCACGUUUUCAGAAUGUAAGUGAACAUGAGAAGUUACAUCCUGGACCAUUGGCUCAACACAUCCACAACAAGAAAGAUUUAGAAACUAGAACUACUGCAUCUUCACCAUCGUUGCAGUUAACAGGCCAGCAGAAAAGCAGCAGAGAUUUGCAGAUCAGGCAAAUAAUACUUCUCAGAUCUAAGGAAGACUCCAGUAGGACAUCUGAGGAACAGAGGAAAUCUGCCAGAUUUACUUCCACCAUCUCUAUCAGUCUUCCCAAUAGAAGAAACAAAAAAGACACCGCGGAGGAAAAAACACUGCAAGCUACAAAUAGCCUUUACAGCACACAUGAAGCCAUAAAAAACACAGCUAAUCAAAACCACACAGAGCUAAGGGACGUGCUUUCACCAACUGAGCAAUGUGGCGAAUCAACUGGUGAAUUAUUUAAGAAUAGGGAUGGGCCAAAAGCAAGCUUUGAUGAAGACAGUUUUACCACUCUGCAUCAACAUGGACAUAACACACCAAAGCAGGGACAAAAUACAGGAAUACAACACAACAUAGGCCUUCAUGAACAAACGCAAAUUGUCCACAACGGCUCACAAAGACAUUCUACUCAACCUGUUUGUGAGGUUCAAACAGAAUUCAACAAGGAAUCUGGAGCCAAUGACUGUAGAAAGAAUACUGCAACAACUCCACAGUACCACAGUAAUCUGACCUCCUUUGAAGGGGACAAUGGUCUAAAAGCAAGCACUGAUUCCCAGUUUUUUGCACACUAUUCAGAAGUAGUAAAUCAGGUCUUGCCAUUAGACUCUUUUCCUGCUCUUCAUUCUGAUAGUACCCCUGAGCCAGAACCUGGUCUUUUCAAUCCUACAUCAGCUAUGUUGACAUCGGCCCUGGCCUCAGUUCUUCCUCUACCUUGGAGUGGCCGUCUUCAAAGACCCAAGCAAGGCUGCAGCGAAGUACAGCAUGAGCCCCAAGAUUGUGGACAGAAUGUCAACCCAUCUACCUUAUUUUGCCAGGAUCGGCAGCAACAACCGUUUCUUCCUUCCCAGAGGCGACCAUCUGAACACAUGUUGGCCAAUGACAGUGACAUGCAGUUGACUGCAGGAACCAGCUAUAACUGUCCUGACUGGCAAAAAGAGAACAAUUCCCCGAACAUCACAACCACAAUACAGCCGACGAGACCCAUUAUUAAAUCCUCCUCUGUGGGCAUGAUGUACAAUAAUACAGAUUUGCAUUCUUUUCCCACACCUCUGGACACUCGUCAGGUACCAAAUUUGGCCCAUUCAGAGUACAGAAUAUCAAACACUGGAGAUGAACAUGAGGCUUUCAAAUCAUUGAGCUCUAAGCCAACAACAAGCAGUCUACUUCUUUCCUUGAGGAGGUCAAAUUUGAGAAGCUCCAGUGCUGAUCCCACACAAUCACAGACUCAGAUGACUAGUUCUGUCAGGUCCCUUACAUUGCCUAGCAGAGUUGUUUUGAAAACUCCAUCAUUUGCCCAUUCUGUUACCGCUGAUGACCAAACCCCCGAAUAUCCAGACACUCCUGCAAGAACAGAGGAAAUAGCAGUCAGUCAGUUCCUUUUCUCACAUAGAAUUAAGAGUAGAGUGCCAUUAAGAAAAUCACUGUUUCUAAACAAACCAGAGACAGAAAUUUAUCAGAGACUUGAAGCUUCUGUUGCCAGAGUAGAGGAAGAACGUUUCCCAAUCUCCACAACCAAAACCGGCCAACUUGGAAUUCUCAGAGCUGAACAGAGUUCUUAUUCAGUGUUUUUGAGGAAAUAUUCCAAUACAGAGGACAUAGAUCCAGCGGAACAAAAUGCUGCCAACAACACCAACCUGCAAAACUCCAAUAUGACCAGACAAAAAGUAAUUCCAGAUACCACAAUUUCUCCCAAAGUUUUAACAAACAAUGUUCAACAAUCUGGCUUUAAUGUUCAAAAAUUAAAAUCACAAAGUACACACAAUAUAAUAUCCAGUAGUUCUUCAGGUACAGGCACCUUCACAGACAGGCUUAACUACUCACCCAGGAAAGACUCUGGUGGAACAAGUCCCACAAAUGUGGGGCAUAUAUAUCUGGACUCUAAGAAAUAUUCUCAGUCAAGUCAAAGCACUAUGGAUCUUUCGAGCUCUCUUUCUCCAAGCAGACCUCUCAGAAGUGUAAGAGUACCAAGCAUUUAUUCAUACCUACGGGAGUCCAGCCCGGCUGUGUCCACCCCUUCCCCUUCCACCACUUCUUCCCACAUACAGAGAGGUGAAACAUCACCUCCUAAGCAAGAUGGAGGUGUAACACUGCAGGGUGACCGGAAAACACUACCUUCAAGAUUUUCAUUUGACUUCAACCCAUUUGUGCCACAGGUACAAGCAUUACAAAGAAACUCUUAUAGCUCCAGCUCUCAUAUAGUACCAGCUCAAUCUCUGCCUCCUGAUUUUGGACGAAGAUCAGCACCUCGUCUCAGCACUUCUCCAUAUUUUAGCCUCAUCUCCUCACGACCUACACUCAACAACACUUUACAAGAACUAUCCUCUCCACCUGUGUCCAAAACUCAUACCCGAUCUACAUCUUAUGAUAUUGUAACCACUCCUGCAGACUUCAUAAAAGGUGAUCCAAGCUCUUCACUGUCCACAUACACAGGCAUAAUAAGAAGACCAAAGGAACAGUUAGCUUCUCCUAACAGAAAACAGAGGACAGCAGUUCAAGAUUAUACAAGCGCCCUAGAUAAUCACAAACCUGCCCAGCCAUGCCUCUUACAAGUUGCACCAGAUACAAGUUUUGUCAUGGAACGCCAAAGCGCAAAUAUAAGCCCACACCCAAGGCAGCCAGACACAGGCUCUAACAACUUCUGCCAUCAGGAGCAUGAUGGCUUGAUGGAACUUCAGCUUGAUAAGGGUAAUGCUUACCCCAAGCACAGGCUGAAUGAGAAAGAUAAGUAUAAGCUCACAGUAGAAAACGAGACUCCACUGACAGCUGAGAAAGAGAUUCCCGCUGUGCAUAUGCAUGAGAGAUUACAGGAAAUGCAAAGUUCCAAUUCAAAAAAAGGCCUCUUUAGUUUACGAGUUAACAAAGACAAAGAAGCUGUCUUUUCGUCAGCUUCAUUGCCAGACAAAGAGGUUGUUAGUCCCCAGUAUUUAAAAACCAAAAGACAUUCGCCAGUGUUUAAAACGAGCAGCAGGAUUGACCAGAUGUUAAAUCGCUUGAAACUGACAUUUGGUGUCAAACGUUCAAACAGCUCACUUGACGCACUACCGAAAAAGAACAAGAGUCCCACUCAGCAACCCUCAGAUACUGAGACUUUUGAAAGUCCCAAGCCAGAGGAGAACACAUGUUCUGAGAGCCACCCGGAACCUUCUAACUACUCUUUAAUAACUGAUAAACACUCUUUAAAUUCCUUGUCACUACUAACAUUCAAAAAAUCUGAGAAUACAUUAAAUAUGGAUGAACAAAAUAAGUCUACAGCUGAAAUAAAUUAUUCUGGGUGCACACGGGAGGCCCCUAACUCAUUCUUGACCACCAAUAAAUCAUCUUUUGCCUCUUUUGGGUCCUUGUUGCCAUGUACAUUAAAGAUAUCUGAGAAAACCUUAAAUAUGGAUUGGCAAAAUAGAUCUACAACUGAACAAAAGGGUUCUGGGUGCACAUGGGAGGCCCCCAACUCAUCAUUGACCACUGAUAAAGCACCUUUUGCUUCUUUUGAGUCUUUGUCACCGUUAACAUUAAAAAAAUCAUCUGAGAAUAAAUUAAAUGUUGAUCAGCAAAAGAGGCAUAGCGAUGAAAAUGGAAACCAUUCUUAUGGUAGGAGCUUUAGUCCACAUAGGCUAAAGGCCCAAAGUAUGAAUCGUUCUGCCACCUUGCCACAUUACAGAAAAUCCUCUGUCGGUCCCCCAUCACCCUUUUAUUUGUUUGAUUUUGAUUCAGAAGAAAUUCAGAAUGAUAAUGUGUUUAAUAGUCCAGUGAGCAAAAAAACAAAUUCACUGUGUGAGUCUGAUUACUUCUCUUCUCUGAACUCCAAGAGUCCCGUGCAGCAAAACCUUGUGAGGUCUCACUUGUCCUCGUCAUGUGCUGAUUUAAAGUAUGGUCUACACAAUGGACGAUCUUUCUCAGUAAGCAGUGUGGUUUCAAGCCGCCCAUCAGGUCCUGGACGAAUCUCAACAAGCAGCAUCAGCGACCUGUCAAGUUUGGAUGACUUUGUGCCGAAGGGGGAUUAUACAGUAGUUGACUCUCCAAUGAGUAGUAGCCAUUCUCCAAUCUGUGAUGCCAAAUCUAUCACUGGUAAACAGUCUGAACCUGGAUAUACAGAUGAUCUUGAUCUUGAUCAUUAUGAUGCAGACCCAACCCCACCUCCAUCACCAACUAUGUCCUCUUCACCUCGUCGGAUAUCCCAGGCACCUUCUGUAUCUUCCCCCAUGUGGACAACUCCAGAAAAGUCUCCUACUCGUGGAAUCCUGUCAUCAAGGAGCUACACAACCAGCUUGACUGUUUUUGAGGAGUCUGAUUCUGACACCACAACCGAUGAUGAAUACUAUCUUGACAAUUGUGAUGAUGCUGUAGAAACAGAACUUUAGAGGAGGUAAUUAUGUGUUCAAUUCCAUCAUAUUGAAUAUGUGGUUACAUAUAUACGCUUCUACGAAAUUAGAAACGAUCUAAAUUGUAAUAACAACUAGAAAUCCAGAUUGGAUAUGAAUAGAAGGAAUUAUAAUAUAUCAGAACUAUAAGACCAUGUUGAUUUCAUAUUUUUUGUUAUAAAUUAAAUAUAAUGGGCUUUUUGAAUACUUUAGUGUUUGAGGAUAACAAUUUUUUAUUUCAUUAUGAAUUAAUAUACAAUACAGUACAAUGCACUGUUUCAUUAGGUUUUUUAAGUAUAUUUUCUGGAUCUUAAGGCUUUGAAAUUGUGAAUUCUCACAUCAUUCCUUUUAUUGUAGGUUAUUGACUGUUUCAUUCACUGUGGCAUUUGAAAGCACAGCAUGUCAGUUACAAUACAUUAUUUUCCUGACAGACAUUCUAUAGUCAGUAGCUGUAAAGUAAGAAACUGAACCCCAACUGUUUAACAGAGGUGUUUGAAUUUUCUCAACUCGUACUGCUCUUUUAACAGUAAAAAAAAAAGAAUAGAAAAAUUGAAUAUCGGUGCCCCUGUAACACUGAUGAUUCCACAUUAAUUAUGGUUAAGUCUGUAAAGAAGAUGAUGUUACAGAAGUCUGCUAUCCAUUUGAUAUUAUUUUUAAAAGUAUGAAAGUGUUAUUGAAAACUGGCUGAUCCUGGCAUAGCCUGUGUGACAUCUGCAACUUGUUAAUUUGAGGUUCAAACACGGCCUCUCACAGUCUAUGCAAAAGACAUACCACUAGAUGAACUAAGCAUUCUUAAAUAAGACCUCACAGUUAAUUUUAUUUGCUGUAUAAUUUAAUUGUGCUAUUUGUGUGCGGCUUUCAGUGUAAUUUUAAUUGAUCUUUUUUAUAAUUUUUUAUGCAGAGCAGGGGUUGGGGCAUCAUUUCUCCCCUAGAGCCUAGGGACCUCCAUAAGAUGUUAAGAUGCUCAAUUGCAGCACUGACAACAACACAGUACUACUAAAUGCUGUAUAACAUAGGCCUACGGGACCUUUUUGUAAGGGAAUUCUUGAAUGUCUUCAUUAAAUCGGUUAUAUUUAUUAACAUUUAAUAUAUUGACUACACUAUAUUUUUCUUAAGGCACAAGAAG
rnacentral:lncRNA from 1 species